AUGGAAUUCAUCUCGUAAAUACAACUCCUUCUUUCAACAUCAAAAUUUCUUCUUAUUUCAUUUCUAUCUUCUCAUUCAUGUUUGUGGCUAUGCAGCUGUUGCCCGGGUUCCGAAUGCGGUCCCCCGGUUAAAGGAGUGGAUUGUGGGCAUCUGCACUCAUAUGUCCUACUUCAAGCGCACAUGGCGCAGACUAUCGAAGGGCCGAUAGGAGGCCUGUUCUCAUGGUUUGCCUAAGACCACUGAACUUAGGCCUUCGGAAGGGGAUGAAGAUGUGCCCCCGUCUGUUGAUCCAUCCACUGCUACCACGGAGGAAAAGAAAAACCUCGGGCUCCCCGGGCUCCUAGGUGAAGAAAUCAAAGAAGCGGGUGCUCUGCAAGCCCGAGAGGGGCUCCAAUUCUUGGGUGCCUACCUCUGAUACCCUCCUCCGACUUAGGGACGAGACGGAGGAUGACUCUAUCUCCGCAGUCCAUGAGAUGAUCUAUACCAGGGACUGGGAUGCAUCCGAGGGGGAGACUCAUGAGGCCGACCCCCCUCCAGCUCAGAAAGCCCAUGCGGUUCCCCGGGUUGAAACUUCCCUAGAUGCCAGCUCUACACCAAAGGAAGUGCCCGUCGUAAUUGAUAUCUCAGGGACGCCCUCCCAUACCGAGUCUAUGCUCGAGGAGGCCCAAGAAAUGAAGGAGAAAUCUAACUAAGGGGCUCAUGGCGUGGACGAUCCCCUUCAUUCCUUUUUUGAUGGCAUGGACUCGUCCUCCUUGGAGGACUUUUCCGGGAUGGGUGACCUGGAAGUGCCGAGAAAAGAUCUAUCUUAAGAAGUUGUUGGGCUAACCUCAAACCCAAAGUUAAUCAACCAGUUCUCCGCCCCAAGUGUGGAUCCCGGCCGUAAGAGGUCGAUAAGCAUCAAUGUCCCGGAUAAUGCCCGGUUUCUUUCUGCUCCCGUAGGAGUAGCGAUCUACCUCCGACACCUAGUGAUCGAAGAAGACCAGGCUAAAAUGAAUGAGGUGGACGUGCCGUGCCUAUUCAACGAGAUGCAGCAGGCGCUGAAUCGGGCCUUGGUACUUCAUCAUGAAAGAUUUCUUCAGUACUAGAUUGAGGUUAACCAGCCCGAGCUUGAGGUCAAGGAGCUUUCUGAGAAAAAAGAUAUGUACAAGCUCCUUAGCGAGAACUACGAAAGGGCCAUCAAGGGCAUUCAAGCCGAGCUGGACGAGGCUCAGAGGGAGGAUUCAAACCUGAGGCGGGAAUAUGUCGAUCUGGUCGAAAAGGUUCAGGAGAAGAUUGACCAGAUCAAACAACUCCGAGCUAAAAUGAAUGAGGUCCAACCCAUGGCCGAUGUUUGGAAGAGCAAAAUGGAUUGGCUGGCUUUAGAGAAGGAAACUGCCCAGGCACAGCUGGCAUCGGUAGAGGUUCAAUUUUGAGUGGUGAAAGAGAAAGUCGAUAAGCAGUCCAGCUCAACGAUGAACUUCGAUCGCAAUUGAGCUUGACUUUGGCAGAGCGAGAUGCCCUCGGUAAUAAAUGUGAUGCUAUAAAGGCUCAAAUGUGCACAACCUCUGCCCAUGCUGAAGAGAUGGUGGUCCAGUAUAGGGCCGAUGUCGAAGCAGCUGAGGCCCACCUGAAGACCACUACUGAGUACGUGAAGUGGUUAUCUCGGAGGAAGACCCUCGAAGAGAUCCAUGCCCGAGGCUUCGACCUAUCUGCCGAGAUCGAGGAGGCAAAAAAACUUGAGGUCAAGGCCAAGAAGCUAGUUGAUCCCGAAGAUGAAGAGGGCUCUGAAGAAUCUGAAGGCCCCGACGGUGCUGAUGAUGGGUCGGGAUGAAGAUCAGGCGUAGAUGCCUUAGGGUUAUUUUUGUUUUUGUUUUUGUUUUUUGUAUCUUGUACAUAUAUUUUGUCGAGGCCGUUUUUGGUAGGCCUUUGUAAGGAUAUUCCGGAAUAUGCAUUUUUUUUCUUUUGGCAAUUUUCAAGUCUAUUAUCUUCAGCAUCUUUUUACAAUUGCAAAUUUUU